rnacentral:lncRNA from 1 species
AUUUAAAGAUAUGCAAUUGUAGGAUUACUUCGAAUCCAGAAGUUUUCUAGCUUGGGCUUAUGAGUAGCUCGGGCAUAAUUCCUCUACGCAUUCACUGUAUCUCCACCAAUGUAAGGUCCUUCAAUUACAGUAUGGAUCUCUCUCAAUGGAGGUCGGGGAGUGUGAGUUAUUUUUCGGUGCUCUUAAUAAAUCGGCGUGCCUUGGCCUACUUCCGUGACCCUGUCUCUUACACUUAGGUAUGGAGUUUUUUUGCUUUCAGAUCCUACAUAUAUCCCACCUUGCUAACUUCAGCUUUUCCAUCCUGAUUUCCUCGAAGCACUCAUCUAUGUCAUGAUUCCUUGCUAUAAUGUAUUUUGCAGAAUUUCACCUUUUCGUUUUUAGGGCUAUUUCACCUGCCAUUUACGAGGAGCUAUAGAGAUUGCAUACACUUUACCUUAAUGCUCGUCGAGGUACGAGUUUUGCUAUUUAGGUAGACUAGGUGCAUAUGUCAAAGCUUUUCCCUUGAGAGCUCGUCCCUGCUCUAUCUUCUUUCUUUUCUCUAUGAUGUCCUCUAUCUGGAUUUCAUUUUGUAUUAGGCUUAUCAGUUGGUGUAGGAGCUUGGAUUCUUGUAACGAACAACACAUCAGAUGGGAGUUUCUAUUAGCAAAUCGUUUCAUUAAACAUCCUGAGCAUUUUCAUCAGAUUAUUUUCACAAACGAUCAGCUCAGCACUAAAUCGCGCAAAGUAGCUCUUAAGGAAUUCACCUUCUUCUUACCUCCUAUCAUUUAGCCUUGUAUCAGGGGUUGUCCCAUUAUACUACCUUGAAAUGUCCCUAGAAAGGUUUGUUUCAACUAUGGCCAGCUUUAGAUUGACCCCAUUGGUAGCUUGUUAUACCAUCGUUUGGCAGAUCCAUCCAACAUCGGAUGAAAACCUGGCACUUGAGUACAAUACCUCCUUUUUCAGUUAUAUCUGCAUUAUAUACUUGAACAAACGGCAUAAAGGAUCACUUUUGCCACUAUACCUCUCCAUGAUUGGGCGAAAGUUAUCCGAAUUGGCUCCUUCUUGAUCUCCCCAGAGAAUGGUAGAUACUCAUCUUCAUUUUUCUAGCUCGUAUGACCUUGCAAGUCGAUCCUCAUAUUCCUCAUAUAGAGGAGCCUUAUGCAAGGUGUUGAUCAAGAUCUCCACCCUCCGGCCUUCUUGGCAACUAUGCUCCCUGUCAUAUGAAGUUGCUUACUUUGUAAACCUUUCCUUGGCAGGCAUGUUCAUGUGUCGCCAUUUAUGUCGCCUCUCCGACGUACUGUCGUCGUUUUUUGACACAUACUAACUAUAGUUCAUUGUGGAAAGAACUGUUAGCGGGAUCCAUCUCAUUUUCUCCAGACUCUUCAUGCAUAUUGGCCUUUGUAUUCUCAACAUGUGCACGUAGAGAUGCAUUCUUUGCUGUUAAUGCCUUUAAGCUCUCCUUCCUUUCUUAUAUGUCUUUUUCAGUUGAUAUUUUCUUUCGCAAGCGACCGCCCUGUAUGAGAGAGAUGCUAGAUUGUACUCUUGCUGAAGUUUUCUCUUGUUGCCUUAUAGGAUUAGCAUCACUGUCCACCAGACAAUCGCUAUACUCUCUGGCUUCAACUUCUAAUGCUUUCAUUUUUUCUAGUUUUUUCUCUGUUUGACUCAUUUUUCCAAAUCUUAAGGAUUUCUCAACUCCAAUAUCUUAUGGUUUAUUUGCUCUAUGAUGGAAAUCGGGUCAACAAAUUCCUGUCACAUAAUCAGGAUUUUCACCUCCUAAACUCAUUAGUUUUGAUGCUCAAACUGGAGCAAGAGAAGAAAUGUUUAUUUGGGAAUGAGAUAUUUGAAUUUUUAUACUUCACUCUUCUUAGGUGGGAAUACUUAAAAAAUUUUCUCCAAGCUUUGAGAUAAUUCAGUCAUUUCUAAUAAAUGAUGACGGCUUUUUAUUUUUUUGUAACUGAUUCUGUUAGAGUAUCACAUUUUAUUCAUUAACUUAUGUGUCUUAGUAAUGGCUCUUAACUAGCUUGGAUAGGAAAAGGGUUUGCCCCCCUUUCUUCUCCUUGUAUAUCGUUUUAGCUUUGUAGGUGAAGGAACAUGUUUGUGGACAGUGGCGGAGCCAGCCCCUGAGGAGGGAACGAGGCCGAGCAUACUAACUCCGUCGAAACCUAUAGUUGGACUCGUCAUCAGGAGCCAGCCACCAUGGACAAAGCUUCAACUAGAAAGUUGAAAUGUACGUACAGACGAGGAUGGAAUGAUUUGGAAGAUGAACAAAAGUGGAUUUGGACCAAAUUUUUAAAGUUGCAAGCCGUUUCUUUUGGGCCUCUUGUAAAAAUAUAGGCCCAAUUGCUCAAUCCAAUGGAUUGAAGAUGCAGAGACUGCUUGCUAGUUUUAUUCACUUCUAGCUCACACGCGCACACACUUCAAGGACAAAAUGAGCUACCAUCAAUGUUGAGCUACUGCCGCACUGCACCACAUCGCCACCAGUGCAUUGCCUCCGAUGACUAACUCCACUUGUGAGUCGUGACAGCAUAACGCGAACAGUGAGCCUUCUGCCU